rfam:Triticum aestivum genome assembly, contig: Triticum_aestivum_CS42_TGACv1_scaffold_113796_2AS
CAACUACUUCCUCCGUCUGGAAAUACUUGUCAUCAAACUGAAUAAAAGGAGAUGUAUCUAGAUAUAUUUUACUUAUAGAUACAUUUCUUUUUGUCCAUUUUGAUGACAUGUAUUUUCGGACGAAGGUGGGAGUACUUC